GUACAUAUUUAUGUGAAGCUUUUCCCUGCUGGGCAAAGUAGUCUUAGGCACAAGUGCCUGGGAAAAUCACAAUAAAAACUGACUAUAAUUAUCGUCAAAACCAGUGUUUCACCAACUCAGAGGAUCUGAGUAGCAGAAUCCUCUUUUGUUUAAUCAGGCUGAAGUGUAAGACCUAGAUGAGACUUAGCACAAGUAACGCCAUCUUGUUACAGGCCCUCCAUCUUGUCCCUGUGUGUUUCAGGUUCACUACAGGACACAGAGUUCCUGGAGUGUACUUAUUUAUCUGUUAAGACACCAUGGAAUGUACCAUUGUUUCUGUGUAGGGAACAUCCUGUUUGCUAAGUAAAGAACAUCUGCAACUGCCCCCAACCGUCCCCUAACGGCAAAAAUUCCCCUUCUGUAGUUCUGCUUGCUAAGCACCCCUGCAGCCCCUAUAAAACCUUCCAACCCCCUGAGCUCGGGCCCUCUCUAAGCUUGUUUGCUUGGAGGGUGCCGUCUGGACAGACUAAUAAAGGUCUGUUUUACUUUUCCAACUUGUCCGGUGUGUUCCCUCCCGGGUGUUGUUUGCUGCAGUCAGCUCCUCGGAGCGUUUGGUAAGGCCCUCGGUCUUACAGAAGGUUAUUACUUUUUGGCAAGAGAAGAAACUGAAUCAAAGAACCAUGAUGGAGGGCCAGGGAUGUAGGUCAGUGGCACAGUAUCAGCCCUGAAUUCGAUUCCCAGUACCAAGAGAAAGAAGAAGAAGAAGAAGGAGAAGGAGAAGGAGAAGGAGAAGGAGAAGGAGAAGGAGAAGGAGAAGGAGAAGGAGAAGGAGAAGAAGAAGAAAAGAAGAAGAGGAGGAGGAGGAGGAAGAGGAGGAGGAAGAAGAAGAACCAUUAUGGGAUUAGAAUUUGCCUUAACCACAUCCACAGUCAAAUGAUAAAACAGGUAUACUCAUGGGCCUGCUGAUCUUGAUUGUCAACUCUACUGGAUUAAGACUCCUGGAGAGGUGAUGAGAUUGUGGAGGCACAUAGCUGAACGGGUGGUCAGGAGACAGGGCCUACUUGGAGGAAGUGGGUCAUUGUGUCAUGACCUUAGAGACUGUAUCUCCCUUUCCUCUCUGGCUUUUCCCCUUUUCUCUGCUUCUACCCACCAUGAAUUGAGCAGCUUUUUCUCCACCGGGUCCUUCUACCAUAAUGUUUCUGCCUUGGAGCCAGCCAACUAUAGACUAAAACCUCUGAAACUGUGGGCCAAAAUAAACCUUUCCUCCUUUAAAUCAUGGGAGUUAGAUAUUUUUCCCAGUAAG
rnacentral:lncRNA from 1 species